rnacentral:misc_RNA from 1 species
CAGCCGCACAUCAUUAUACUCAUGAGACAACAGAACUCACCAAAACUUUCACCGAGGGUUUUACAACUGAUAUCAAUAGCGCACAAAACCUAGAUGAGGAAGGUGCUUGUGAUGACCCAUUAUUUGAGAGAAUCGGCAAUUUGGACUCCGCAAGUACAAAAGAAGAUCAAAAAGUUAUGAUGGCUAGUUUGGAGGAGGAGAUGCAUGUAUUGGAUAAAGAGCGUGAAAAACUAGGAGAUGAGCAGAGAAAGCUUGAGCGCAAUGCAGAGUCUGUUAGCUCUGAAAUGUUUGCAGAGUGCCAGGAGUUGCUCCAAAUGUUUGGCUUGCCAUAUAUCAUAGCUCCAAUGGAAGCUGAAGCCCAAUGUGCGUACAUGGAACUUACAGAUCUUGUUGAUGGUGUGGUUACUGACGACUCUGAUGCAUUCUUAUUUGGUGCUCGAAGUGUAUACAAGAAUAUUUUUGAUGAUCGCAAAUAUGUGGAGACAUACUUUAUGAAGGAUGUGGAGAGUGAGCUUGGGUUGGAUAGAGAAAAAAUAAUUCGUAUGGCAUUGCUCCUUGGGAGCGAUUAUACUGAAGGAGUGAGCGGGAUUGGUAUUGUUAAUGCUAUUGAAGUUGUAAAUGCAUUUCCUGAGGAAGAUGGUCUUCAGAAAUUUCGUGAGUGGGUGGAAUCACCAGAUCCAUCCAUUCUCGGGGGGCUUGAUUCACAGGUAGGUUCCAACUCUAGGAAGAGAGGGUGUAAAGGUGGUGAUCCUGAUAUGAGUUGCUCAACCAGUAAUCUGGAAGGCAAUGCUGCUUCCGAGGACAGAGCUGAAAAGUCGAGGCAGAGUUUCAUGAAUAAACAUAGAAAUAUUAGUAAAAACUGGCAUAUUCCUUCUUCAUUUCCGAGUAAUGCAGUAAUUUCAGCAUAUACGUCUCCUCGAGUUGACAAGUCGACAGAGCCUUUCGCAUGGGGGAAACCUGAUGUUUCUGUUCUUCGGAAAGUUUGUAGGGAGAAAUUCGGCUGGAGCAGCCAGAAGGCAGAUGAAUUGCUAGUACCUGUCCUGAAAGAGUACAACAAACAUGAGACACAACUUCGACUGGAAGCCUUCUACUCUUUUAAUGAGAGAUUUGCUAAAAUCCGUAGCAAGAGGAUAAAUAAGGCUGUUAAAUAUAUGACUGGGGACAAAUCCAGUGAUUUAAUGGACGGAAGUGCACAAGAUGCUCCUGGAAUCUGUAAAAAAAGAGUAGUAAAAUCUAAUGAUAUGAAUGAGGAAAAGAUGGAGGAUCCUCCGAGGGGACAUGAGUCUGCUGGUGCUGAUUAUGAGGAGACUACAACAAAAAGAUCAGUUGGGAAGCAGUCAAGGAAAAGGAAAGGAGGGCAUCUGCAGACUGAACAUUUGGAACCUCCAGAGGGAGCAGGAAGCAAGCGAAAUACCAGUAAGAAAUCAAGUGGUAGUAUAGGAGGACGGAAGGAAACAGCUCGAUCUGUGUGGAAGGCAGGUAAAAAUUCCUCCAGAUCCUCCAAAAUAAGCUCUGAGGGUGAAAAAGAUAGUGAUAUAGAGCAACAAUCACAAAUCGAGAAGCCUGAAAAGACAAAUCAAACAAGAAGGUCACAGCGUCAUCGGAAAAUAGUAAAUUACAGUGAGAAGAGAGAUGAUGAGUCUGACAAAGAUGAUGGAGAUUCUACUGCUGAAAAGUUAGAAAGGAGAGAAGCAGGAGUAGAUGUGGAUGUAGCUGAACGUUAUCCUGCUGAUUCUAGUAAGAUGAAUGAGAAUGAUGCAAGUAAUGAUUACUGUCCACAAGAACUGCCAAACCUUGAAACAAAUGCUGGUGGGGCUGAGAUGGAAUCUACUGCUCAACCAAUCUUUGAUGAAACUUAUGAUCCUAUUCCUGGGGAUCUUUUGUCUAAGGAGUACCUUAAAAUGGGGGGUGGGUUUUGUUUAGAGGAAAAUGAUGGAGAUAUGGAGCAUGAGAUAAAUGCUUCUAGCCCUAUUUUAUCAGUUGAGGGUUCUGAUAUUUAUAAUUCUUCUCAGCUUUUGGGAGAUGAGAAUAAUGGUAAUGCUUCAAAUCAAUUGAUUUCUAGCCCCUCAAGGAAAACAAGUGAGAAGCAAUGUGAAGCAGGGAUAGGUGCAUCUGAAAUUGAGCAAGAUUUACACAACACAACUAAUAUUACUUGUAACGAUGUAUCCCCACACCUAGAAAAUAUGGGGAAGAAUGAUUAUGUUUCCAGUUCAGUAUUUCUCCGUGCAAUGCCAAAUUUGAGGAAGCGGAAAAAGAAUAGCUGAUGAUACCAGCGCUGCUGUGUCGGGUAAUCCUUUGUAUAUGAAGUAGGUUAGCAUGUAAUUUCUUUUCAUCUUUCUCAUUAAAUGCUUGCAUCAUUGUGGGAGUACCCACCUUGUAUGAUUUUUGUAUAAGCGGAUAAGUUAUUGAAUUCAUCUGUCGUGUAACAGAUAAGCU